CCUACGGGUGGCAGCAGUGAGGAAUAUUGGUCAAUGGACGAGAGUCUGAACCAGCCAAGUAGCGUGAAGGAUGACUGCCCUAUGGGUUGUAAACUUCUUUUAUAUGGGAAUAAAAUGUUCCACGUGUGGGAUUUUGUAUGUACCAUAUGAAUAAGGAUCGGCUAACUCCGUGCCAGCAGCCGCGGUAAUACGGAGGAUCCGAGCGUUAUCCGGAUUUAUUGGGUGUAAAGGGAGCGUAGGUGGAUUGUUAAGUGAGUUGUGAAAGUUUGCGGCUCAACCGUAAAAUUGCAGUUGAAACUGGCAGUCUUGAGUACAGUAGAGGUGAGCGGAAUUCGUGGUGUAGCGGUGAAAUGCGUAGAUAUCACGAAGAACUCCGAUUGCGAAGGCAGUUCACUGGACUGCAACUGACACUGAGGCUCGAAAGUGUGGGUAUCAAACAGGAUUAGAUACCCGGGUAGUC
rnacentral:rRNA from 1 species